UACGUAGGGUGCAAGCGUUGUCCGGAAUUAUUGGGCGUAAAGAGCUUGUAGGCGGUUUGUCGCGUCUGCUGUGAAAUUUCGGGGCUCAACCCCGAACUUGCAGUGGGUACGGGCAGACUAGAGUGAUGUAGGGGAGACUGGAAUUCCUGGUGUAGCGGUGAAAUGCGCAGAUAUCGGGAGGAACACCAGUAGCGAAGGCGGCUCGCUGGGCCAUUCCUGACGCUGAGACGCGAAAGCUAGGGGAGCGAACAGG
rnacentral:rRNA from 1 species